GGCAAGGUGGCCGAGUGGUCCAAGGCGUGUGACUCAAGCGAAAGCUUGCCUGAGUAAGCUCGGGUUUCUCAUCUGCGUAUGCAGGCAGGGGUUCGAAUCCCCUUCUUGUCA